GACGAACGCUGGCGGCGUGCUUACCACAUGCAAGUCGAACGGAAAGGCCCUGCUUUUGUGGGGUGCUCGAGUGGCGAACGGGUGAGUAACACGUGAGUAACCUGCCCUUGACUUUGGGAUAACUUCAGUAACCUGGGGCUAAUACCGGAUAGGAGCUCCUGCUGCAUGGUGGGGGUUGGAAAGUUUCGGCGGUUGGGGUUGGACUCGCGGCUUAUCAGCUUGUUGGUGGGGUAGUGGCUUACCAAGGCUUUGACGGGUAGCAGGCAUGAGAGGGUGACCGGCCACAUUGGGACGGAGAGACGGCCCAGACUCCUACGGGAGGCAGCAGUGGGGAAUAUUGCACAAUGGGCGGAAGCAUGAUGCAGCAACGCCGCGUGCGGGAUGACGGCCUUCGGGUUGUAAACCGCUUUCGCCUGUGACGAAGCGUGAGUGACGGUAAUGGGUAAAGAAGCACCGGCUAACUACGUG
rnacentral:rRNA from 1 species